GAUGAACGCUGGCGGCGUGCCUAAUACAUGCAAGUCGAGCGAACGGACGAGAAGCUUGCUUUUCUGAUGUUAGCGGCGGACGGGGGAGUAACACGUGGAUAACCUACCUAUAAGACUGGGAUAAUUUCGGGAAACCGGAGCUAAUACCGGAUAAUAUUUUGAACCGCAUGGUUCAUAAGUGAAAGACGGUCUUGCUGUCACUUAUCGAUGGAUCCGCGCUGCAUUAGCUAGUUGGUAAGGUAACGGCUUACCAAGGCAACGAUGCAUAGCCGACCUGAGAGGGGGGUCGGCCACCCUGGAACGUAGACGCGGUCCAGACUCCUACGGGAGGCAGCAGUAGGGAAUCUUCCGCAAUGGGCGAAAGCCUGGCGGAGCAGCCCCGCGUGAGUUAUGGAGGUCUUCGGAUCGUAAAACUCUGUUAUUAGGGGAGAACAUAUGUGUAAGUAACUGUGCACAUCUUGACGGUACCUAAUCAGAAAGCCACGGCUAACUACGUG
rnacentral:rRNA from 1 species